GCAGUGAGCUGAGGCAGGAAUCAGAUGGCUUUACCCAUGGAGAUUUUUGUUGCUGGCUAAUUUGCUACAUAUUCUUAGAACUGGUUUGAUUAAGAAAAAAAGCUGUUGGUGUGGUGACUGGAAGUCUAACAACAAUCACCACAAUAGAUAUCUGCAGCCCUGAAACCAAUUUUCAGGCUUGAAUUUCUUUUACUUUUCUUCUUUCUUUCUUAUUGUGUGUCUCCAAGUCCUGAGUCUACUGGGGUUAUGUAGAAAAAAAGUUUUAAACAUUUUUUUGGGAAAUAAUUGCAAAGUUACAGCUAAAUUAUAAGAAAAAAAGAAGAGUUCUACACUUUGGGAGGCCGAGGCGGGUGGAUCAUGAGGUCAGGAGAUCGAGACCAUCCUGGCUAACAAGCUUCCUGCACACUUCCGACAACUUGAUUGAACUGGACGCCCUUGGAAGUUCAUGGCAUCGCCUAUAACAGAGUCUGUGUAGGCAAAACCCCAGCCUAUGCUGGAAUUUAACUCUUAAAAAGCAACCUAAGUAGAACACAAGAUUGUAAACUCUAAGGAGAUUCUAACACCAAAAGAAAGUAUGACUUGAGCCAAUGAAAUGCCAAAAUCCAGUUCUAGCUGACAACGUCAGUAGUGGAGGACAGACUUCCACUUGCCAUUUGAGGAAAAAGCAUGUGGAUUCAUGAGCAUAACAGCAGAUACCCCACUACCAAUUACCAAAUCCUGUGCACAUUCCUGUUCUCCAGUCACCUUUUCUCCAUAAAUGUUUGUGGUAUAAAAUGAAAACCUUCCCAAAUAUUAACCAGUCAACCUUUAUUCUCUGAUUUCUUUCUCUAAACUAGUGAUGCCUUCAUUUUCAGUGUCACUGACUUGCACCUAACAGUUCCCAGCUUAUGUUGUAGGUGCUAUCUCAUCUUAAACUGAUCCUGUUCUCGAGUUUCCAGAGCGAGUACAGCCCUGCCACCUCUGGAGUUCAGCCCAGUGAAAGUGCUUUCAGACUUCUGACCUCCAGAACUGUAAGAGUAUACAUGUAUUUUGUUUCACGCCACCAAGUUUGUGCUAAUUUGUUAUAGCGGCCAUAGGAGACUAAUGCAUACUUAACAGGAACUGUUACUCCAGGGAAAACAUGUGACUGCAGACACAGUGGAGAGCCUAACACACAACUGUUAACCCUGUUCUGGGGAGCUGAAGCUUUGGUUUUAAGGGAUUUCUGAAACCAGUACAAUGACUGUCACUUUUCCCAAUGUUCAUCCGGGGAAUAAAUGCCUAGACACCUGGCA
rnacentral:lncRNA from 1 species